AUUGAACGCUGGCGGCAGGCCUAACACAUGCAAGUCGAACGAGCGGCGGACGGGUGAGUAAUGUAUGGGGAACUGCCUGAUUGAGGGGGAUAACUACUGGCAACGGUAGCUAAUACCGCAUCCCAUCGGAUGUACCCAUAUGGGAUUAGCUAGUAGGGGGGGUAAAGGCUCACCUAGGCGACGAUCCCUAGCUGGUCUGAGAGGAGGAACAGCCACACUGGAACUGAGACACGGCCCAGACUCCUACGGGAGGCAGCAGUGGGGAAUAUUGCACAAUGGGCGCAAGCCUGAUGCAGCCAUGCCGCGUGUAUGAAGAAGGCCUUCGGGUUGUAAAGUACUUUCAGUCGGGAGGCGUUACCGACAGAAGAAGCACCGGCUAACUCCGUGCCAGCAGCCGCGGUAAUUC
rnacentral:rRNA from 1 species